GGCCCAGAUUCCUACGGGAGGCAGCAGUGGGGAAUAUUGCACAAUGGGCGCAAGCCUGAUGCAGCAACGCCGCGUGAGGGACGACGGCCUUCGGGUUGUAAACCUCUUUUAGCAGGGAAGAAGCGAAAGUGACGGUACCUGCAGAAAAAGCGCCGGCUAACUACGUGCCAGCAGCCGCGGUAAUACGUAGGGCGCAAGCGUUAUCCGGAAUUAUUGGGCGUAAAGAGCUCGUAGGCGGUUUGUCGCGUCUGCUGUGAAAUCCCGAGGCUCAACCUCGGGUCUGCAGUGGGUACGGGCAGACUAGAGUGCGGUAGGGGAGAUUGGAAUUCCUGGUGUAGCGGUGGAAUGCGCAGAUAUCAGGAGGAACACCGAUGGCGAAGGCAGAUCUCUGGGCCGUAACUGACGCUGAGGAGCGAAAGGGUGGGGAGCAAACAGGCUUAGAUACCCUGGUAGUCCACCCCGUAAACGUUGGGAACUAGUUGUGGGGUCCAUUCCACGGAUUCCGUGACGCAGCUAACGCAUUAAGUUCCCCGCCUGGGGAGUACGGCCGCAAGGCUAAAACUCAAAGGAAUUGACGGGGACCCGCACAAGCGGCGGAGCAUGCGGAUUAAUUCGAUGCAACGCGAAGAACCUUACCAAGGCUUGACAUAUACGAGAACGGGCCAGAAAUGGUCAACUCUUUGGACACUCGUAAACAGGUGGUGCAUGGUUGUCGUCAGCUCGUGUCGUGAGAUGUUGGGUUAAGUCCCGCAACGAGCGCAACCCUCGUUCUAUGUUGCCAGCACGUAAUGGUGGGAACUCAUGGGAUACUGCCGGGGUCAACUCGGAGGAAGGUGGGGAUGACGUCAAAUCAUCAUGCCCCUUAUGUCUUGGGCUUCACGCAUGCUACAAUGGCCGGUACAAAGGGCUGCAAUACCGUAAGGUGGAGCGAAUCCCAAAAAGCCGGUCCCAGUUCGGAUUGAGGUCUGCAACUCGACCUCAUGAAGUCGGAGUCGCUAGUAAUCGCAGAUCAGCAACGCUGCGGUGAAUACGUUCCCGGGUCUUGUACACACCGCCCGUCAAGUCAUGAAAGUCGGUAACACCUGAAGCCGGUGGCCCAACCCUUGUGGAGGGAGCC
rnacentral:rRNA from 1 species